ensembl:snoRNA snoRNA:U14:30Eb snoRNA:U14:30Eb
AUAAACUGAUGAUUACCUUAAACACCUUUUGCGGUUUCCACCAGAAAGCUUCGGCUUAAGGAUGGUCUAAGGCGUCUGACU